CAUUAUCAUGGGUUUGCAACAUUAGCAUACGCUGGCUGUCCCGCAGGACGGUGGGGACUGGAAAAUCAGUCCAGGGUCUGGGUUUGAGUCCUAAGAGGACAGGCCUGGCGGCGCCACACGGCUCCUCUUCAACAGCUGCCGGAGCUGUAGACAAGGCAAAGGAGGGAGAGAAGUCUGUCAGGUUGGAAGGAGAGGUGGGGAAGGCACGCCAUGCAGAGGGAGGGGCUAGAGAAGAGAGGUUGAGUGGGUCCCUUUGGAUUUGAAGAUCAGAGGUCCAGAGUCAAGAUUUUGGAAGAGCCAGGUGCAGUGGCUCACGCCUGUAAUCCCAGCACUUUGUGGGGCUAAGGUGGGCAAAUCACCUGAGGUCAGGAGUUCAAGACCAGCCCAGCCAACAUGGCGAAACCCCGCCUCUACCAGAGAUACAAAAAUUAGCCGGGCAUGGUGGCACGUGUGCCUUUAGUCCCAGCUUGGGAGGCUGAGGUGGGAGAAUCACUUGAACCUGGGAGGUGGAGCUUGCGGUGAGCUAAAAUUGCACCACUGCACUCCAGCCUGGGUGACAAAGCAAGACUCCGCCUCCAAAAAAAAAAAAAAGAUUUGGGAAGGAGGCCGGGAGUGAUGGUUCCUGUGAUCCCAACACUUUGGGAGGCCAAGGCGGGAGGAUCAAUUGAGGCCAGGAGUUUGAGAUCAACCUGGACAACAUAGUGUGACCCCAUCUCUUAAAAAAAAAAAAAAACAAAAUUAGCUGGGUGUGGUGGUGACUGCCUGUAGUACCAGCUACUGGAGAGGCUGAGGUGGGAGGAUCCCUUGAGCCCAGGAGCUCGAGGCUGCAGUGAGCUAUGAUCAUGCCACUGCACUCCAGCCUAGGCAACAGAGCAAGACGCUGCCUCAAAAUAAAUAAAUAAACAAACAAACAAAUAAAAAUAAAGAUGUGGGAAGAAGGUCAAGGCCUGGGUUCGUACACUGAGAAAGGGUCAGGAAGCAGAACUUCAGUGAAGGGAAAGGGGCUGCUGGCUGGGGGUUCCCACCUGGGGGUGAGGAAUGAGAGGGAAUUGAAGGGAACAGGUAAGAGGUCAAAGGUCACAUCUGAGGUCAGGACCCAAGGUUAGGGGCAGGGGGUAGGAGGUCACACUUGGGGGGAUCAAAGGUCACACCUUGAGGUCAAGCAAGAUUCAGGGUUGGAAGUACAGGUCACACUGUGAGGUCAGGGUUGGGGUAGAGAUCAGAGAAGUCACCAUUCUGGGGUAAAGGAUGAAACACUGAGGUCAGAGGUCACAUUAUAGAGUCAGGGUUGCCUGAGGGCUGAAGUCACCUUCCGAGAUUAGAAGUCAUUCUCUGAAAGCGAGCAUUGGGUGGGGCAGGGAGGUCAUCCCGCGCCCGCGAGCUCAGAGGCCACUCUACAGGCAGGCUCAGUGCUUACUUACCCCCUCAGGGCCCGGCCCGGGCCGCAGCAGGUGAACGGGCUGCUCAUUCUCCAGGUUGCGCAGUGUGGGGUCCGCCCCAGCUGCCAACAGGUGCCGCACGAUGGCCUCCUGGGCCGGCCCAGGGGGCAGGGCAGCCGCCAUGUGGAGGGCUGUGUUCCCGUGGGCCUGGAAAAGUAAGGGGAGGGCUGGUGGGGAUCUGGGCUCAGCUGGCCCAGGCCUCUAAACUGCACUUCAAUUUCUGCCUUGUCUACGUCCUACACUUGUCCUUUCACAUCCCAGACCUCCCCCGGCCACAGCCACGCUGCAUGCAUCCCUGUGUCCACGGACUACAUGUUCUGGGGCAAUCUGUGUCUGCUUCCUAUACUUUCCCCUGCAGAUCCCACACAUCGUCCCCUCCACGUCCACAGCCCCCAGGACCCCUAACAUCCCACUGCCCCCCCUACCGUACCCCACACAAUCUGCACUUCCCAGCCCCAGCUCCCACCUUCAUGUUGACAAAGGUCCGCAGGUCUCCCCGGGGCAGCUCCAGCAGCAGCUGAACCAGAGUGGGGUUGGCAGCCUGCACGGCCAAGUGCAGAACUGUCUUGUUGCUCUUGAUCUCCUGAGGGGAAGGGAAUGGCAGAGGUCAGGGCCAGCCUCACACCUAGGUGCCCUCCCACAGAAUCCAGGAGUCUUUAAAGACCCUGACCCUUGGCGGAGUGCGGUGGUUCACGCCUGUAAUCCUAGCACUUUGGGAAGCUGAAGAAGGAGGAUCACUUGAGGCCAGGAGCUGCAGACCAGCCUGGACAACACAGCAAGACCUCAUCUCUACAAAAAAUAGAAAAAUUAGCCAGGCGUGGUGGUGCGCACCUGUAGUCCCAGCUGCUUGGGAGGCUGAGGCAGGAGGUUCAUUUGAGCCUAGGAGUUCACGGCUGCAGUGGGCCAUGACCACACCACUGCACUCCAGCAUGGGUGACAGAGUGACACUCUAUCUCAAAAUUAAUAAAUAAAUAAAUAAGAUGCUGGCCCUCUUCUGCGAGCCCCACCAAGAGUGCCUUAUUCAGUUGUAUGUCUUGUGCACCGCACAACACCACGUCUCAGGGUGUACCAUUCACACCAUACACCUUCCAGAACUGUACAUUUCUCAUGACAAUUUUCCCACCAGUGUCUGAGAAAGAGACUCCUUUUCCAGUUCUUCAAAGCAACUGCCUUGGCUACCUGCCCUCCAUUCAACACAUUAAAUUGCAUCCCGACCCACACAGACUGUACUUUAUCUACAAGCACAGGAGUUGGCAGCAUUAAUCAGUGGACUAGCUAAUAUUGCAAUACUGCACCACAAUAUUGAGCUGUUCCCAUCAUAUUUGGGGGAAAAUAAAAGACAUUUUCUAAAAUGAAACCUUUUUAUGUGUCUUUAAGGAGUUUGUAACGAUAAUGAAUGUUAAACAUUUUAUGUGCUGAUAACAGGGCAAAACCACCUAGUUUGCUCGUCCAAAAAAUGAUGAAGACAAAACCAAAGCUCUAGAUUAAGAGUGAUUUGAAAAGACGUAACAUCAUAAUAUGUGUGCUUAUUUGGAUCUUGAUUUUUUUUAAUGAAAAAAAUUAUCAUUUUACAGCCAAAAGGAAAUUUGAAUACAGCCAGGAUAUUUGGUAUUACAAGAAAAUCUUUAAUUUUUUAAAGACAGAGCAAUGAUACUGAGGUUUAAAAAGUUCUUUUUUUUCGAAGGGCACAGGGGCUCAUGCCUGUAAUCCCAGCACUUUGGGAGGCCAAGGAGGGCGGAUCACUUGAGGUCAAGAGUUCGAGACCAGCCUGGCCAACAUGGUGAAACCGUCUCUACUAAAAAUACAAAAAUUAGCCAGGCGUGGUGGCACAUGCCUAUAAUCCCAGCUACUUGGGAGGCUGAGACACAGGAAUAGCUUGAACCCGGGAGGCAGAGGUUGCAGUGAGCCAAAAUCACACCAUUGCAAUCCAGCCUGGGCAACAGAGUGAGACUCCGUCUCAAAAAAAAAAAGCUAUGUUUUUUGUUUGUUUUUUGAGACAGGGUCUCGCUCUGUUGCCCAGGCUGGAGUGCAGUGGUGUGACCAAGGCUCACUGUAGCCUCAACCUACUGGGCUCGAGUGAUCCUCCCACCUUAGCCUCCCCAAGCACUGGGAUUACAGGGAAAGAGUUCUUAUCUUUUAUUAUUGUUGUUGUUGUUGUUGAGAGACAGGGUCUUGCUCUGUCACCCAGGCUGGAGUGUGGUGGCAAAAUCAUGGCUCACUGCAGCCUUGACCUCCCCAGGUUCAGGUGAUCCUCCCACCUCAGCCUCCUGAGUACCUGGGACCACAGGCAUGUGCCAUCAAGCCCAGCUAAUUUUUGUAUUUUUUUUAGAGAUGGGGUCUCCCUAUGUUGCCCAGGUUGGUCUCGAAUUCCUGAGCUCGAGCAGUCCGCCCACCUGAGCCUCCCAAAGUGCUUGGAUUACAGGCAUGAGCCACCGCACCCAGCCAUCUUUCUUAUUUUUAAAAAACUUAUUAUUAUUACUAAAAAUACAAAAAUUAGUGGGGUGUGAUAGCACAUGCCUAUAGUCCCAGCUACUCGGGAGGCUGAGGCAGGAGAAUCACUUGAACCUGGGAGGUUGCAGUGAACCAAGACUGUGCCACUGCACUCCAACCUGGGCGACAGAGCGAGACUCCAUCUCAAAAAAAAAAAAAAAAUUAUUUGUCCUUUUUUCAGAGAAAUACUCCCUGAUUUCUGAGUUCUCCCAGAACCCUACCACACAGUUAAUUCUUCCUCUUCAUCAUUUCUUGCUCAACUUAAAUGUAAUUUCCUCAGAAUGACCUUCAUUGUGAGCCCCGCAUCCAAUAUAAAGCCAAUCUUUUUAUUGUCUAAGAGCUCCUUCUACAUUCCCAAGGCAGCUCUCAUCCCAAUUUGUAAUUAUGUUCAGUUCUUUGUUUACUUAUCAUCUCCUCUCUUUUCCAUUAAAUUUUAAUGUCUAAAAGUACAAGAAAGUGGUCUUUUCUUAUUAAAACAUUAUAGGUAGCUGGGCACAGCAGCUCACGCCUGUAAUCCCAGCACUUGGGAGGCCAAGGCUGGGGGAUCACUUGGGCCCAGGAGUUCGAGACCAGCCUGGGCAACAUAGUGAGACCCCCCCUCUCUACAAAAAAUAUAAAACAAUUAGCCGGGUGAGGUGGCUCAUGCCUGUAGUCCCAGCUACUUAGGAGGCUGAGGUGGAAGGAAUGUUUGAGGUCAGGAAGUCGAGGCUGCAGUGAUUCGUGAUCGCACCACAGCACUCCAGCCUGGGUGACAAAGCCAGACUCUGUCUCUAAAAAACAAACAAACAAAAAGCAACUUUAUGCCCCAUCACUAGCACACUGGUAGCUACAUCAUAUGUGUCCAAAAUUCUGAGUGAAGAAACGAAUGAAUUACCAAAGUAUCAAUUUCACCUUCUCUGUAUUGCCCAAAUGAUCACUUAGCUCUACUUUGCAACCAUUAAGAGCCUAGAUUACCAUCAUUCAUUUCCUAACCCCGCUAAUAAUGCCUUAUCUUGUCUCUACUCAGUCAUGCCCGUCCUUCUUACAGUCCAUCCCCACCAUCUAGCUAAUUCUGCUAAACACCAUUAUUCUUUAAAGAUACACAAAUAUUUUUGAAAAAAAUACAUGUUGGAAUUUGCUUAAAAAUCACAUGAAAGUGAGAGGCCACGCACAGUGGCUCACGCCUGUAAUCCCAGCACUUUGGGAGGCCGAGGCGGGUGGAUCACGAGGUCAGGAGAUCGAGACCAUCCUGGCUAACACGGUGAAACUGCGUCUCUACUAAAAAUGCAAAAAUUUAGCCGGGCGUGGUGGCGGGUGCCUAUAGUCCCAGCUACUCAGGAGGCUGAGGCAGGAGAAUGGUGUGAACCCGGGAGGCGGAGCUUACAGUGAGCCGAGAUCGCACCACUGCACUCCAGCCUGGGUGACAGAGCGAGAGCCAUCUCAAAAAAAAAAAAAAAAUCACUUGAAAGUGAGAGAGUGGAUGGGGCAGGACUGGCCAUGAGUGGCUGGUUAUUGAUGUUGGACAUAUGGAGUUCAUUCCACUAUUUUCUAUAUUUUAUUGGUGUUCAACAUUCUUUAACUAAAAAAACAUUUUUCGGCUGGGCGCAGUGGCUUAUGCCUGUAAUCCCAGCACUUUGGGAGGCCAAGGCGGGCGGCUCACCUGAGGUCAGGAGUUUGAGAGAACAGCCUGGCCAACAUAGGGAAACCCCGUCUCCAUUAAAAAUACAAAAAAAUUAGCCAAGCGUGGUGGUGCAUGCCUGUAGUCCCAGUUACUCAGGAGGCUGAGGCAGGAGCAUGGCUUGAACCCGGGAGGCAGAGGUUGCAGUAAGCCGAGAUCAUGCCACUGCACUCCAGCCUGGGUGACAGAGUGAGAUUCCAUCUCAAUAAAUAAAUAAACAUUUUUUGUGGAUGUUUAAUUCUCUCAGCCAGCCUAUGAAGGAGCUACUGUCACAGGAAAGGAACAGAACAUAAUUAAAAGCUAGGUUCUAAAGUCAGACUACCUGGGUUCUAAUUCUCUCUCUGACAGUCACAAGCUAUAAGAUUUUUCAGGCUGGGUGCAGUGGCUCACAACUGUAAUCCCAGCACUUUCAGAGGCAGAGGUGGAAGGAUUGCUUGAGCUCAGGAGUUUGAGACCAACCUGGCCAACAUAGUUAGACCCCACCUUACAAAAAAGUUGCCACGCAUGGUGGUGCAUGCCUGUGAUCACAGCUACUUGGGAGGCUGAGGUGGGAGGAUCACUUAAGUGCACAAGGUCAAGGCUGCAAUAAGCUGUGAUCAUGCCACUGCACUCCAGCCUGAGUGACAGAGUGAGACCCUGUCUCAAAGAGAUUUUUGAGGCCAGGUGCAGUGGCUCACGCUUGCAAUCCCAGCAUUUUGGGAAGCCGAGGCAGGAAGAUCACCUGAGGUCGGGAGUUCGAGACCAGCCUGACCAACAUGGAGAAACCCUGUCUCUACUAAAAAUACAAAAUUAGCUGGACGUGGUGGUGGGAACCUGUAAUCCCAGUUACUCGGGAGGCUGAGGCAGGAGAAUCGCUUGAACCCAGGAGGCGGAGGUUGUGGUGAGCCGAGAUCACACCAUUGCACUCCAGCCUGGGCAACAAGAGCAAAACUCCAUCUCAAAAAGAAAAAAAAAAAGAUUUUUGAUUUCCCAUGCCUGUUUCCUUUUCAGUAAAAUAGAGAAAAUAGAGUACACAUGUCAAAGGGUGUUUGUGAGGUUUCAAUAAGCUAAUCUAUGAAACUCAGUGCUUGAUGAAUGAAUAGUAAGUGCUUGAUAACAUACCCUAAGGUCAGUAAUAUUAUUCCCAGUUAACAACUAGGGGCCAGGCACAGUGGCUCACGCCUGUAAUCGCAGCACUUUGGGAGGCCAAGGUGGGAGGAUCAUUUGAGGUCAGGAGUUUGAGACCAGCCUGGCCAACACAAUGAAAGCCCACUUCUACUAAAAUACAAAAAAAAAAAAAAAAAAAUAGCCAGGCAUGGUGGCGUGCGCCUAUAGUCCCAGCUACUCAGGAGGCUAAGACAGGAGAAUCACUUGAACCUGGGAGGCAGAGUUUGCCAUGAGAUGAGAUUGCACCACUGCACUCUAGCCUGGGCGACAGAGUGAGACCCUGUCUCAAAAACAAAAAAACAAACAAACAAAAAAACCCUGCUGGGCGCGGUGGCUCACGCCUGUAAUCACAGCACUUUGGGAGGCCAAGGCAGGUGGAUCACCUGAGGUCGGGAGUUCGAGACCAGCAAGACCAAUGUGGAGAAAGCCUGUCUCUACUAAAAAUACAAAAAAAUUAGCCAGGCGUGGUGACUCAUGCCUGUAAUCCCAGCUACUCAGGAGGCUGAGGCAGGAGAAUCACUUGAACCCGGGAUGCAGAGGUUGCGGUGAGCCAAGAUCACACCAUUGCACUCCAGCCAGGGCAACAAGAGCAAAACUCCAUCUCAAAACAAACAAAGAAACAAACAAAAAACCCCUAAGGCACAGAGAAGUGAAGUAACAUGUUCAAGGGCACGCAGCAAGGAAGAGGCAAAGUCAGCAUUUGCCUGGAGCUCCCGGACAUCCAAGUGGCCCCAUUCCACACAAUCUCCCAGGGUCUGACCGCCCACAUCCCCGCUCACCUGGCUGGUGUGAUUAGCACCCAUUUGCAGCAACAUGUGGACACAAUCCAGCCUGUCUCGGGCCUGUGUGCUCAGCACCCGGGGACAGAGG
rnacentral:lncRNA from 1 species